UUAGCAUUCACUCCGUGGACCUACCUUUUCCGUUUUGUUUGGGCUUGACUCUGGCAUCGGGAGACAGACAUACAUAUUCUCCUUAUCACACACCAACUGUGCCUUUGAGUUGAACUGGGGACUGUGGAGACAUCUAGUGUGGAACUGAAAAAGAAAUGGACUAAGAAGUGAGGCAAGUUACGCAAUCUAAUUAUUCACAGGCUAAUUAUCCAGUCCCUCUCAGUAGAGGAAGUCCCUUUCUCUGCCAACGCUGUGUCUCAAAAUCCCAGAGCAGAACUAAGUGCUAAACACCCACUUUUAUGGAGAAGAGGAUGGAUGGAGGAGAUGAUGGGAGUUCUGGGUUUCUCUCUGCCACCAGCCUCAGUCAUCCACACAGCCAGAUCGCCACGACCACCUUGAGGACACGCUACUGCCCAAUCACCACUGGGCCCAGUGGGUUGGCAUGCCAACGAAGACCGAAAAGUAAGGGGAAAACCUUGAACAACAAUUACAACCUAGAUGCUGAUAGAUGACUGCAAUAAAUGAGCUAAUUUGAAAAAAUGCCCCCCCCUCCCCCUCCACCACCACCACCACCACCUUAUAGCUCUGGGAAUUUAUUGUUUGUUCGACCUGCUUGACUUUGACUCGUCAUCCAUGAUUCUGCCCACUGUGUGUCUCAGUGUGGCUAUCCUUGUGCGGAUGGCGUAUUCCCACAAGUUAACUUUGUUCCAAUUACUGAUGAAUACGGGUUGGAGAGAAUCCUAUUUGUGGCACUUAGGAUUCAGAGAGGCUCACUGCAGAUAGUCCAGUAGUAGUGACUGGAUUGCUUUAGUUGAUAUCAUACCACAGGGAUUCAAUCAUACAUCAUCUUUUGAGGAUGAGAUAAGGUGAGUGAAGUGCAGAGAUGAAGCAUAACUCUUCAGUCGAUCUGUCCAGAGUUCGGCUGUGUUUGCGUACUAAUGUGAUUUUUCUUAUAUGGCUAUACCUCCAGGCAAGUGUCUAAUGGGAGCUGUCUGGCCCAAAAGGCUGGCUUAGAAAUGCCAUGUAUCCAACUAAAACUACCUCAAAUUGAUUCUGGAUGACACAAAAGCAGCACACAACUGGCGAGAGAGGAAAUGACUUUGCGUUAUCGGCGAACUGAAUGGAUGUUUUGAUGGGAGCAGGUCCAUAUCUCACACUUGUAUUGUUAUCCACAUGAAACUGACAUUACCCUUGUUAUUUGGGGACUGCUGUUUAUAUUACCAGUACCAGUGGGCAACACAGUAUCCUGAAAAUGUUUUGAUCUGUAGGGAACAUUUUCCCUGGUUUGUAGUUCUCAAUGUUAUAUAGCAGGGGUACUCAACUCUGACCCCACGAGGUCCGGAGCCUGCUGGUUUUCUGUUCUACCUGAUAAUGAAUUGCACACACCUGGUGUUCCAGGUCUAAAUCACUCCCUGAUUAGAGAGCAACAAUGAGAAAACGCAGUGGAAUUGGCUUCGAUGUCCAGAAUUUAGUUUGAGGGUUAUGUAAACUCAGCAAAUAAAAUAAAUGUCCUCUCACUGUCAAC